rnacentral:lncRNA from 1 species
CUCAUGAGUUGGGAACUUCAUCUUAAGGUGAUAAGUAGAUACUACUGUUGGGAAUAGUGUCCCAAAGUCAAUCGUCAGUCUGUUGAUGGUUGUGCUCUUUUUUAUAUUAGUAUAUGAAUUAUAAAUUAAUAAAAGUUAUUUUGAUAUUUUUCAUCACAAAUUGUUUCAUCUUCUAAUGAACUCCUGUGUUGUGGUGAAGUCCUUAGGACUAUUUAGACUCGACAAAAGAGGAUUUGUCGUUUAGUUCUUAAACCUGUUCGUGACCAAAUGAUGCGUUGUUACUAAG